rnacentral:lncRNA from 1 species
UGGCUGACCUGAUCUGACUGGGUGACAGACCCGCUCAUUCCAAGUAUGGAGAAGAUAGAUCUGCCAACAGUUUGGGGGGACUUGGUGUAAGAUGGGGCUUCCUUGCAAAGUUUCUCCCAGAGUGAAUGUAGACGCUGUCAACCACAGUUAAUCACAUCCUUGCAGUGAAAAUGUUUCUCAGAGAAACGGUACCUGAAACCCUGUGAAGCCUACAGAAACAGGGGCCCAGGUUUAAUUUAAUGCAGAAACUCACACAGUGAAACAGUGUUGAGGAGGACAAGCAAUGCAGGUUUUCUGUCUUGUUCUCAUCUAGCAGUGCAAUGUACUUCACAGGUUUGUAGACUUCUCCCCACGGGACUCACAAACACAAGGCCCAGGCGGCUCAGAGAUGCUGCAUUUUGUUGUGACAGUGUGAACCAACCCAGCUAUAGUUUUAUUAAUAUUUGUUUUACUUGCCUGAUUUACUAAAAAUAUAACAAUAAAAUAGGUGGCAAGGACAACUGACUAGUAGGAAGAGGGAAUCAUUGCAAAGGUAGCAGGACAUCGGCAUUUUACAAACCAUCAGGAAGAAUACGGACAUCUCUUUUUCUCCUGCAGGACUUCACACAACCUCUCCAUGUCCUCAUUUUUAAGUCUUGAGUUUUAAACUGGGUGUGGCUACUUGUCAAUACUCGGGCUCCACAGCAAGACUCUCAACACACUAAAAGUAAAAAUUGUUUCCUCUUGGUACUCAGUGGGGGGACCGUAUCACCAAAAAGACCUUCACCAUUGAAAGUCCCAAUGAUGAAGAAAUAUCAGAAGUUUUACAUAAAAUUGGCCUGUAACACAUGGAAAAGUGACUGUAGUAUGGAUGGAUUUGGGAUCACAUCUUUACUUCCACCUUCUAUGGCAGUAGUCGUUUGUUGAAACAGAGGGCCCAGGUUAGCUCAUUUACUGUUGGUGAGUAGGAGACUAUAAACUUGAAUUUUAUAGGUAUGUGUGAGGCUCAGCCUUAGUCAAUAUUUAUACAUAAUUGUAGUUCUCAUCAAGCCACAAGGCCUUAGUUGUGACAUGGUUAUCUGUCAUAGCCCAUCUAUAAAAGGGAUUUUAAUUGUCACCAUCAGCAACAACAAACAUUUAUGGAGGUGCUACUGUGUGUUGUAAUUGAAUUAAUGAAAUUGUUAAUUGUUGUUUCCUCUUCCCAUAAAUACUUUCUGAACUCAAGUAUCAGUUGAAUCACAGAGGCACCAUGCUUAAGAUACCUGGCCAUUUAGACAGAUCAAAUGUGUGUUCUUGAAUAUUCAAAGGGUUUUUUAAUUCCUGUUCAUAUGUGUAGCUAAGUUUUCCUCUACAACACUAUCUUGAAAAGAAAUCUAGUCCCAAUGGAAUGUUCUAGAACUAGCAGUGGGGUCCUUGUCUGUGGAGAUUUGAAGCUACCGACAGAGCCUCAGAGCAGUGCCCUGAGGUGGUCCUCGGCCAUUUGCCUGUUCUGUGCCUAGUGAACCUGAGCUAUCUUUUCAUGCCGGGUUGUUAGAGACUAUAUUAAACUACCUUUCCUGUUCCUGUGAUAAAGUAGCCCCCCAAAGUGACCUGGAGGGAAAAGGGUCCAAUCAUUAUGGUGGGUGAGCCAUACUGACAGGAGCUUGAGGUGGCCUGCCAUAUAACAUCUGUUGUCAGGGAACAGAAAGGAACAAAUGCUGUCCUUUGGAGCCUCUUCCUUUUUUUAUUCAGUCCCAGCCUACAGAACGGAGCUGCUUAACAGUUAAGGUGGGUCUUCUCACUCAAUUGAGACCCAGUCUAAGUGAUCCCACAGUAGAGGAAUGUCUGGGGUCUAACUCAAUCUAGACAGCCCCUCACAGACGUGUUCAGAGGCUUGUUCCUAGGUGACUUAAAGCUGACUGCAUUGAUCAUCGCAGGGCCCUUUGGA